AUAAUAAAAGAAAAAAACUAAACUACCCUUAUCUAAAUAACAAAAUCCAACCCUCUUUUAGAUCUCUCCCUUCUCAUUUCACUAAAAACCAAAAUCCUAGCAGAGCUUUUUUCCCAAAUUCAAGAAAGCUCCACCAGUGUCGGUGUCACCUCGCCUUCGAUUUAGGUUUGCACGACCACUGCGCACGUCAUUCUAGAGUGACGAAGAACGAAGAAGAAUGACGAUGGCAAUGGUGAACUGCCUUGCGAACUGAGAGCCAAACCAAACAGUGAAAAACUUGAUUUUCAGGUUCCUUCAAAGUCUCCCAUUCAGAUUUGGCUCUUUGAACAAAAAGAUUUGAGGAUUGAAGGCCGUAUCAU